GGGCGUGUGGUCUAGUGGUAUGACGUCUGCUUCGCACCGACUUGCGACGGAACAGGGGUUACACCUUGAAUUAGCAGAAGGUCCCGGGUUCAAAUCUCGUCUCGUCCA
rnacentral:tRNA from 1 species